rnacentral:snoRNA from 1 species
AAUUCCACGCGGCACUGCGUUUAUAUUCCGGAAGUUGGUUUGUUUGUCACAGUUUGAAUGGUUUCUUGGAGUGUGUGUCUGCGUGUUUGGGUGAACGAACGAGUGAGUGUUUGUGUGCGCGUUUGUCUGUCUUUUUUAUUUUCUUUUGUAAAAAAACCUACACAGUGAUCUUAUUUGAUCUGAUCAGAUUUUGGCCCUGCUCUGAUCGGAAAUGAUAGGAAAUUCGCUUGCGAGCCUUAAUGGCGGUGAGCAGCCGGCGAACAACUCUGGGGCCUCCGCAAUUCAUGUUGUGGUCAGAGGUGAUGAAUUGAUCAGAUAUACUAGUUCUUUGUGUGUUUGGGUUCAUCUCAAAUCUCACUGUGGACAAUGAGUAUAGAGGCGAUUCUGAUCUAA